GAGAACGGAACUUCGCCAGAGAGAUGAAGUCAGUUCCCGGCGUUUCGGGGAGGAAACGCCUGCUUAACAAGGAAAGAGGCCCGGCAUUGCUUAUCCCCCAUGCCGGGCCUCUUUUCGUUUGU
rfam:Asticcacaulis excentricus CB 48 chromosome 2, complete sequence.